GCGGGUGUUACACAUGCGGUAGUUCAAUUUAAUGGUGUGGACGCGUGGGUGAGCAUAGAUUUUCGUGAAAAAAAGAGUAUUCAGAGUUGGAAAAAGCAGAACAACUGGAAAUAAUUGGUGGAAAGCUGGAGAUUUACGACGAAAGCAGCAUAAGACUGACGCCGGCAACCUUCCCAACAUUGGCAGGAAAUAAAGUUAUCCUGAAGCUUGUUUCCUUGCCAGAGCAACCAGGACCAUCCCGUGCUCCCCAAGAUUGCAGGGAGUUGGAAGUUCAUGUAGAGGAGGCACCACCAGAUCCCGUUAAGUCACCAGAACUUUUUUACAAGCUCAUUGUGAAGGAGCUGCGAGAAUACUUUAAGAUACAAAGGGCUGUGAUCGUGAGGGGAGCAGAACUUUUAAAGAAAAAAUCAUUAAAUAAUGAGGAAAGAAAAAAGGUUAUUCACAUUAUUACGAAUCAACUUCUUCUCUUUCGUCCAAAUCCAAAAAAAUGAAAAAUUUGACACUGAAUUGCAAAGCUUUAAGGUAAAAACAAAGAAAGAAAUGACUGUAAAACAUGUUGAUGAAAUUGAAAAUAAGGAGUGUUUCUCGCUUUGCAUAGUUAAUUCUUAUUACUAUAUAGUUUCCAAAAAAACAAUUAUGUGAUACAUAAAUUUUUAUUUUUAGUUGUAGUAAAAUAAAUUUAAUUA